GGAGGUAUGGCUGAGUGGCUUAAGGCAUUGGUUUGUCGUACAAGAAGAUUGUAUCAUGGGUUCGAAUCCCAUUUCCUCCG
rnacentral:tRNA from 2 species